GAUACAGAGAGACCAAUGUCUUCUUCGUGAAAAUACAAAAAAAAAGAGUUCUCUUCAUCUUCUUCGAUUCUCAAGCUUUGAGUGCGCCGUUUCGUCUUUUGUUCUUAUCCUCCAAAUGGUUACGAGAUGCAUAGUUUCAACGGCAUUACGACCUACUUAACUCCUAAGACCCAAUUCAACCACGAUUACUUAUUCAAUGCAUUUGACCUCUAUUCAAGGCGGUGGAUCUCUAACUAUAAAAAGGUAAGCUUCCUCUCAUAAAUCUCAUCCUCACCGCAACCAAAUUGCCAAUCCUAGCCUCCCAAAUCGAAACCCUCAUCAGACGAUCAAUCUCCGGUUCUAUCUCACAUCGCUGUCCAAAUCCGACAUGGGCCAGACAGUUGUUUGCGGAGGAAGACUAUAAUGAUCAGAUAGGACCCUUGCUGUCAUGUCUCGAUUGCCUAGAGUUUGAGAUAUGCCGGAGCUUUGUCGUGGAUUCUGUCGUUGUCGUGUUACUGACGUUGUAGUCCUGACUCCUGAAUCAGCCUACAAACAAGAAACAAAGGAAGGGUAAUGACAACAUGGAUUCCAGCGGACUAACAGAAGAAGCCGUGGAGAAGCGGAGGCCAAAGACGCAAUUUGCGGCGAGUAAGUUGAAAGAUGAAAAAGUAAUCCUUUAGAAGAAUCAGUUUGAAAUGUAGUUGGUGAAGAAGAAAAGGAAGUUAUAUCGCUUGGUAAUGAUAGUGGUGGCUCUAACAAAGGCGUCUGCACAGGAAAUAAAUGGAGAUACUGCUGAUUUCUCUGAGAGGAUAAAGCUUUCUCUACGGUUAUGUUGUUAAAGAUGAUCAUAUCCAAGUCGGAGGAUCACCUAUAAAGGGAAGGGUGGUAUUGGAAAAGUGUUUGUGGGAUGGCGUAUUAGUGGUGGUAAUGAACCUACUGCAGAAGCUAGCAUUUUGGAGUUAGUGUAACUCAUUCUGCGUUAAGAUCCUGUUAUUAGCAUGAUUAUGUAAACAUUGUCUCACAUGUCCAUUUUCCUUAAUAUAUGUGAAGUUUGAGCAUC